rnacentral:rRNA from 1 species
GAUGAACGCUGGCGGCGUGCCUAAUACAUGCAAGUCGAGCGAACAGAUGCUGAGCUUGCUCCUCUGACGUUAGCGGCGGACGGGUGAGUAACACGUGUAUAACCUACCUAUAAGACUGGUAUAACUUCGGGAAACCGGAGCUAAUACCGGAUAAUAUAUUGAACCGCAUGGUUCAAUAGUGAAAGACGGUUUUGCUGUCACUUAUAGAUGGAUCUGCGCCGCAUUAGCUAGUUGGUAAGGUAACGGCUUACCAAGGCAACGAUGCGUAGCCGACCUGAGAGGGUGAUCGGCCACACUGGAGCUGAGACACGGUCCAGACUCCUACGAGAGGCAGCAGUAGGGAAUGUUCCGCAGUGGGCGAAAGCUUGACGGAGCAACGGCGCGUGAGUGAUGGAGGUCUUCGGAUCGUAAAACUCUGUUAUUAGGGAAGAACAAAUGUGUAAGUAACUAUGCACGUAUUGACGGUACCUAGUCAGAAAGCCACGGCUAACUACGUG